CGCCCGGGAGCGGCUUAGCGCGGGGUUCCAUUUUGCACCAAUCUGCUUCAUUUCAUGUGGCAACCCUAUCAGAUUGGAGAAGUCAAGCAUUUCUGGAUCACAUCAGAAUUGUAAUGGGAGAGAUACCAAAUAGGACUGAAGCAUGCAGAAAACAAGGAUGAAGAUUCAGCAGUAGCCUGCUUCCCUUCCAGUUGGUCCCACAGCAUUGCCCUUCUUGGCUGCUUCCUCCAUGACAGGGCUUGGAAUCGAUCAGGGGCACUGAUAAUCCAUUAAGCUGCAUUCAGCACAUCUCUUUUAGAAAGAUGUAGAAAAUGAACUUCUGACCAUAGACAGCGGAGAUGAGAUGGGGAAGACAUGCUGGGAGGAUCAGGUCCAGCUGAGGCACAGUGAGUCCCAAGCAGGGGUUACAAGCCGCAAACAAACACAACCUACAUAAAUGGGGUGUGGACUACGUGGCUCAAGGACUCAGGAUGAUUAAAAGCAGGAGCCAUACAGAGACAUCCAGAAAUGAUUGUUUUUAACAAGACAGGAACUUUGUCUGAAAACAGGAUGACCUGCUACAAAAGACGCCAACAAAUCCCCGUAGAGCUUUAGAAAAAACAAGCAGGCGCCUGAGUGUGCUUAAAAAAAAAAAAAAAAAAAAAAAAAAAUCCUGCCUGGUAAUAAAAAGGCAUGUAAGGGUAAACAGGAAAAGAGCACUCCACACUGCAAGCAGCCCGGAGGAGGAAAGGCUGGGAAGAGCGCUGAUCUGAAAACCUGAUAUGGAAACUGAAGAGAACGAUUUCUUCAUAUCCCUGGUACAAACUCCCUCUGCAAACACAAUGCCGGGGCAGCUGUGAACAGCACUUGCCUCCAGGUUUUACUGUGCCUUUCUUCCAGUCCUUUCCAGUGAAGGCUGUGGGACAGCAGCAGACGCUCCACAGGUGGUGUUGGUUUGCUUCAGUGGCUGUAAAGCAACGUCAUUUCAGACUUCCACGAAAGAGUUUUUUUUCUAGUGCAAAAACUUUAUUUCCUGAAGGUGAAAUGACUGCAGUUCAGCCCACCUGUGCUGCAUUUACACAGCUCUCUCCCAGUUUUAGCAUGAAUCUCUUGACAUCUGUUGUGUUUUCCGCUAAGCUUUGGCUCCAUCAGUCUUGCUGAAUUUUAAAAUCAAAUGCCAAUUUGAAGAAUUAGGAUAUUGAUAGACUUCAUCAUGCUGACAACCCCUGCUUCAACGUUGGCAGAAUAUGCAGACUCAGCUCCUAAGCAGUUUUCCCAUCACAGCCUGCAUGUCACCAGCUAGAGACCCAUGACAGCGGCCACCACAGUACAUACUGUGAACUCCCGUGCAGCAGCUAUCCCCUUCGUUGUGCUCCAAAGCCGAGCACUGCCUCAGCACUGAAAUUACAGCCUGUCACAGCCUGUGUUAACAUGUGGCCAGAAGCAGCUUCUGCAGCAGCCGUACAACCCGCGACUGGAAAAGGUCCAACCCUCAGGCACAGGGCCUGGCCCUGCAUAAAGGCAGACCAGCAGUGUGGCUUCCUGCUGCUGCAUGGUGGCUGUCGGCCCUGAGGUGGCUCCUCCUGAAGGAAGGUCCUGAAGAAAUGCUGCAGUCCCAAAGACUUCCAUGGCCUCACAGAAACCAAUGUGAGUUUCAGAGAAGUUUCUGGAUCGCUUUCCUCAGGAGCAGUCCUGGCAACGUGUCAUGUGCUGCCUUUGUCUCCUGUGGGGCCCUGUGUCCUUUGGUGCGUGGCUGCUAUUGGUGCCAGGAGGUGCCCAUAGAGGCACUGGUGCUCCUGGGAGGGGAGGAAGGCUCAUGUGCAUGAGCUCUUCAGAUGAUGGAAAAGACAUUAAUCUCCUCCCUCUUCUGGGUACUGCCUGAAGACUGAGGAGGAGCUGCUUGUCCUUACCCAUGGCCAGCUGCCCCAGUGCUCCCAGCCUGCUGGUGGCCUCUCAGGAAGAUGGGAUAUGGCUGUGUGGGUCAGGUAUCUCCAUUUAGUGUAGUCCAAGGAAAUGACAGCAGCCUGUACUUUCCCUUUCUGAAGAUGCCAGCAUGUAUCUGACUCAAGGCUCUGUCCCCUGUAGGAGUAAUGCCUUCUGCACAUGGGACCUCUGAGAGUCAUGCUGUGCCAGGACUCUGUGUUCAGUGCCCUGCAGGGCAACCCCUGGCUUAGGGGAGAUCUGGGUUCAAGCUUUCUCAGGUAACCCCAUACUCUGGGCAUGGGUUUCUAUAGUCACUGCUUCAGUAUAAAAUAUGCUUGCAUUUUCUUCUUUCCUUUAGUAUCAGUGAUUCACUACUGUUAAUGUACAUGAUUUCCCAUCUAACGUAUUAUUGAUCAUUUUCCAUGGCCUGCAGCGUCCUUCAGCACUGUACUACUUAACAAUAAUAAUUAUAUAAUCAAUACAAUGAUCGGGAAAUUUCCAAUUUCCAUGAAGUGAAAUUAAAACUAAACAAAUUUUUAUUAUGCUCAAGAUGGAUAGCAAUGCCAGCUGCUUUGUCCAUUGGUUUCCUAAUUAUCAUAGUCUCACAUGCAUGAUCAAUAGCAUGUGACACAAGUAUCUAAAGCAGCAUGCUUUACUUUGCCUAUAUACCUUCCAAACUACCCAUGCAUACAGAACAUAAAACCUCUUUGCUAGUGUGUAUGUGAACAUUUCUAUGGAAGGAUCCUGAGAACUUUGUUCCUACAGGAUGUUUGUGUCUUCUUUGGAUAAGGAAAGACAUAAUUUCACCUGCACUGGUCUAAGAGAACAUAAUCCUAAGUAAACAUUUCAAGGUGGUGAUGACUUUAUUUUAAAAAGAUGGUAAAGUAAGUGCAGAAGAUAUGUAAAUAUAUCACUGGAGGGGAAAAAAAGUAAUUCCUUCUCUGUAAGAAAGGGAUGUCUUAAACUCUUCACUGAACUGAAUGCAAAUAGAGUGAGAUAUCUCAGGUCUCCAAUUCAUCUCACAAAUUGUCAAAGGAAGAGAACAGAAACAGCAUCACUCAAGAUCUAACAUGGAAGAAAAUGUUUCAUUUAUGUUUAAAAAAAUGGAAAGUUCAGGGCAGUUGCUUAUAUUUCUGCAAUGUUUUUCCCCCCCCUCACUUUAUAAUGAAUAAGAAGUAGUAGUUUCUGUUUGUUACUUUUUUUUUUUUAGAAUGGUAGACCCUAUGAGCCUUUUUGUGUAUGUGUUAGUGGACAUUUAACUCUUGUGAAUUAAUCGUUCACCCCAGAUUCUUGUGAAGGAGUCAUGGAUGAUUGAUGCCCGUGGUGCAGGACAACUUAUUCUUUAAUGGGUGAUGAGGUCAUGUGCUAUUUUGGUUCUGCCCAGCGGGAUCUCCAGCUUGGCCAAGCACUGCUCCCUCAGCAGCUGCCAUGUCUGUGCCCUGCACAUGCCUGGAAACACACUCUUUCUUCACAGACAAAAAAGGCCAUUCAUAUCAGCUGUUUUGCUGUAAAAAGCUCCUUGUUUGGAGCAGUGGAGGCACGGUCUCUUUGCAGUGCCAUCAGCUCUCCAGGGAGAUACUGUCAUCCACUAUGGCCUGCACGGGACAUGGGGAGGUCCGGCCUAGUGCUGGCAUGGAGGGAAAAUCCUCGUCUUCACAAAUUUGUUCUUUUUUCACUAAUCACCCAGUCAAUCAAUUGAAAGAAAAUACUGCAAUAUUAGUAGGACAGCUAUUAUAUUCUGCAGAGGGACUUCAAGCCAGACAGCACAGGACUAGUUUGAUUUUACGCCAAUCACUCUUGGUGGAGAAAAAAAUGCAUCUGGGAUUCUGCAUCUCUAGCUGUCAGUAGUGCAGAAGCAAACCCUAGCAGAGCUUGUGCCAAACGUGUGCUGAGGAGCUCUGAGUUAGGAGGAAUGAUGUUCCAAAGAGAUAAUUUCAAUGAAGCUCUUCCUCUUUGUAUUUCAAAUAGUCACAGAUUUUUUUUUUUUUCUCACUCCAGCUAUUAUUUUGCAUCAUCCUUGCCAUAUGGAAGAAAGGAAUUAUGCUGUUCUGAUCUGCUGCCAUAAAAAUAUGAAAUGUUAUUUGUGUGAUCUUCAGAGCAGAUUAGAACUGGAAAUUUCCACUUUGGUGGGAUUUUCAACAUGUUGAAAUUAGUUUUCAUUUCAAUCUAGACAAGCUGCAAUAGUGUCAAGUUUUUCUAAAUUCAAGAAAUUCUCUCCCAAUCAGAUUUGUAAAAUACGUACAGGUUUCAUUAAUCUCUACAAACAAUGCUUUGGAGGAAGGUGUUCUACCAUCUAAAUUCUCAAAAUAUUCAGUGAGAGAGCACUCUCAGAUACCAUCAGCACUGGUCUUGCUUCUCCCUCUUGAUCACUGACUUUUGGAAGUAGAACAUGAAAAGUGCUUUUGGCACAUCCAACAUUAAAGCACAGUAGUGCAUGGAAUUUAAAAAAAAAAAGAAAUAACAUGUUAGCUACAGGGAAAGGGUUAGCAUCUCUCCAGUGAUACAUGUCAUCUAUGAUCUGCUGUUCUGAAGCAGCAAGACAUGAUGAUAGAACAGUCAAUGUAUGGGUUACUACACUAAGUGUCUGUUUUCCUGACAUUACAAGAUGACAUAUGAAUUUCCUUUACAGGAGGCUGGAUACUCAUGGUGAUGGAAAUAUUAGAGACAGCACAGGUGCAACUGCCUCUGAUUUUCACUGUGGGUUUAGCAUCGUUCCACUAAGGCUACUAGGAAGAAGGCAGUAUCAGCUGUGAAUGACACAAGAACAACUGGGGAAGAGGAUGAGAAAACUGUGAAAGAAUUGCUGGGGGAGAUGCCUGGGGACAUUGGCAGUGUUUUGAGCCAGCUUCUGAAGAAAACCUGGAGAAGUCUUACUGGAGCUGAAGUUGCUGCAUGAAGGAUAGAGGGAAACAAGGGUGGAUCCUCUUCCCCACAGUGAUGCCAUGAUAAAGGAUGACCAAUAGCUGUAAGGAGAAAGAACAUAUAAGGGACAAGCCGAGAUAACACUUAGUAAGGGAUGGAAAAUGCCAGGCCUUCGUAUGGUCUACUGACUCCCUGGCCAAGAUGUGUCCUGCAGCUGAUGUAUAGCCCUAAGCAGGAAACAGCCAGGGCAUGCAUUUCAUGAGUGGGGUAUAUGAGGCGGUACUUCAUCUCCAGGCCUCAGUGGAGGACACAGAGCAGAGGCAAUAUCAUGAGGGGACGUAGCAGGCAUAGACAUGAUUUUUCAUCAUGCUUGUUUACAGUGCGGCAGCUCGACUGGACUUGCUUAUUUAUGUUGAACUGCACAGUGUGCAAGCACUCAGCAAAGAGGCAGGUAUCCAAAACCAAGGUGUUAGUACAGGCUGCAAAUCAAGAGCACGGUGAACUGAACAUGGUCACAAACAGGCUUUAAUAUUGCACUGCAGAACAGUAACUCCCACACUAAAUGAAGAAAAGGGUUAAAUUUGUAGACGGCUGGCUUUGCAUAGUCUGGCUAGGCCCACCACACUGAUAUUUAUAAACUCUCAGUGGAUGACUGAGAGCACCUCCAGGCCUGCCGAGGGCAGACUAGCUCUCUAGCAACACACUGCAGGUGAAUUUAAGGGUGUGGUAAUUGAGCUGGGCUUGGGUCACCCAGUAGCAGUCUGAAGCCAGCCAGCCAUGCUAGGCAUAGCUCUACACUCCUGAACAAAGUGUUCCAUUAGGCCUGCUGGAGCCUGGGCAGCCUCCACUAGUCAGGCUUUCUCUUUCUGAAUUUUAUGCAAUGAAAAGAAUGGGAUAGGCAGGGUGUGCAAGGAGGAUUUUGUUCACUUCCAUAAAGAAUCCAGACUACAGCUAAGCAUCUGGAAACAUGCUUCUUGGGAUUUCAGUGUUGCAUCUAAAAUGCAAUGUUAUGACAGGGAGCAGAAGAAAAAAGGAUCAGUGACUUUGCAGAUGAAUGACCAACGUACUAACAUGACAAAAUGAGCUCUUGGUUUGCCAUAAAUACAUUAUCUAAGCUUUCAAGGGUUGAUCAGUAAGAAUGCAAAAUCUCUUUCAAAGGAUGUAGAUGAGAAGGAGGGGUACUCAUCAGAAUUAAAGAACAGCUUUUGCUAGACUGGUGUUCCUGGCAGGUUACACCUGCUUCCCACUCUGUGCCUUGCUGCCACUCUGUCUGGAGCAACGUGCUUCUAACAAUAGCUGGUAGCUGCAAGGUACAGAGUGUGCUACGCAGCUCGUUUCCUCUUCCUCCUGCCUGAUUGUUAUUGCAGAGCUCCCAGCAAGAAGGGCUCUUUAAUGCCAUUAAGUCACAAGAAACUGUGGCUUUGAUAGUGAGGAUCUGAUUUAAUGCAAUACCAAGUCAAAGAAAAACAUUUAAAGAGAGAAGAUGCCUUUCUCUAAGUGCUUUGUACUGUAAAGCUUCUGUAUAUACACAUACACUCACAUGCUCACACAUCCUGGAGGAGGUGCGUGUCCAGAAGGGAAAUCCUGCCUGCACCGGAGUUCAUGACAAAUGUUCCCACUGACCUUGGCAGGGCUGGGUUUCAGCCACUGUCUGUAUGUGGGGGACGGUGUGGAAGUGUUCAGGCAUGAUAUGUCUGUAUUUACUUGCUGUGAAAGACUGUGGGAGCCUGAACAUACUAGCAACGCACCAAAAUACAAAUGGAGAGUAAGAGAUUGUCCCCAGGACAAGGCCCAGGAGUGUUGCCAUGCCUUCCUGCACCACAUGUGAUCUCCUGCAGCUUUGUCUGUCUGCAGGUUGUGGGAGCACCCUAGGCAGUGACCUUACUCACCAUCAGAGUCUUGGCGGGGUCUUGGCUUGCUUGCUUGUUUUUGGCUUGGUGACUUUUUUGUGUGUGAUGCUUUCUUGUUUGUCUUUUUAACACAUAUUGGGGUUAGUCUAAAAAUUGCUCAACUGCCUUCAUUCUUCUGCUCUCAAAAUAGAUAGGACAGUUUUUGAGGGCCAAUUAGAAGGGCCAGCUGGCCCUUGAAUAACCAUAAUCCUGCAUUCAGUGAUUUCACUCUGCUUGAUUUUACCUUCAGAUAUGUUUUCAGUGUGGCAGAAGGACAAGAAACCUACAAGUAAUUUAGUGGUUAUGCACUUCAAAACUCCCAUUUUAAUGCUGAUUGUAAUUCUAUUCCACUGUUUUUUUCUAAAAUCUGUUUUGAAUUUGUGCACCUCUAAGCAUCAUUCAGUGAUAUUAUAGGUGGAAACAUAAGAUCCAGUAUAAUGAACACGAAUCCUGUUUUCCUGGAGACCUUUUAUAGAUCUACUGAAGGUAAUUCAGAGACUCACAGUUUAAAGACCUGCUUUAAUUUGUGUAGCUGUAAUGUGCCAAACUUGAGUGGCUAAUUUCGUAUCAGUCACUGAAUGCAGUGGGCCAGCCACAUGACUUCCUUAAUUUAAAAUGUGUUUUGUAUUUAUGGGUUCCUCCUGUUUGUAACUAUCAUUUUGUAACAGCUGCCCUGUGGUACAGCAAGCACCACAAAGCAGAAUCCCUAUGUCUGAAAGGCACUUCCUUCCCCCUUCAUCUUGACAGCACACAUCUGAGCCAAGGUUCCUCUGUGCAGAACCGGGUUGGUCCCAAUACUGGGGCUCUCACUCCUGCUGGAAAGCACUGCACAUCCAUGACUGGGACCAGAUUUGGGGCAGUAUGCCAAGUUCUUUUGAGGAUUUGGGCCUGGCUGUAAAUGUCACAGCUGGUGGCUUCCCACUGUUGAAAAUCUGCUGCAAUAUUAUGGAUGAUGAGCAUUUGGAAAAUCUGGUGCUGAAGACCAGCAGUCAAUAGGGUGAUGUAAAGGAGAGUGGGACAAGGCCCAGAGCUGCAGCACAGGAAAGCAGGAAUACAUUCAAAGUCAUAGACAUUGUCUGUGCAGGAUUCCAAAUACCUGGCAAAACCAAAGCAAAACAUGAGCAUUACUAAAAAACAUCAGGUAGACCUAUUUCUGCGUAGCAAGUAUAAAACCUUGAAUUACUUCCAAAAAAGAUCUGAAUUACCAUUACCAGUGCUCCUGCAGAAGCACUCUGAACUAAGAGCUUGAAGCCAGAGACUUCCAGUUACACUGGAAAAAUGCAUUCUCACUCCCAUGCGGAGUGGUGGCUCCUUGGACAUGUUCCACGUUUCUCUGGAAGAGCUGGCAAUAUCGUAAAUUCCAGAAGAAAAGCUGCUGAACUGCUUUAAGAUUAUUUUAAAGAUGUGUACAAACUACUUUCAGAAAAUUAUGAUCACUGUUUUUUUUUGUUGUUGUGAAUCUUCACGUUUACUCUUCCUUACAUACUAUUUACCUUCUCCCUUUGGAGCACCGUUGUAUAUGGAAACCUGCUCAGCACAACACAUAAACAGCUGUGGUAAGCAGUCUAUAAAGAUGUAAAGAGCAGUUGUUGUCACUGUACUAACAAAGCAGAUUUUAUCAAAUUUGCCUUCAAACCAGGCUCUCAGCUGCUCCCAAGCAUAUCGAGAUGACCCCUACAUGUGUUAGCAAUAUGCUACAAUGACAUACAUGUGUUCCUACGUAGCCUAUUCCAGCACAGGUUUCUUUGUUCACAAUCACAUUAUGCAUGUGUUUGUUAUUCAUGUUUCUGCUUCCACAACUUUCCUUUGAUGUAAGUACAAUACAACUUUUUCAUCGUUAUUUGAAACAGAAACGUCGGGACAAAAGGAGCAUCAAAUAUAGGAAGUACUGAGUUACAUUUUGCCAGUGGUUUAUACCUUUUCUGUAUGUUAAAGUCAUCAAUAACAUAUUUUCAGAAGAAAAAUGAAUGACUUGACUUUUGUUCAGACUACAGGCUUAGCGUAAAGGUCAGACUGUGAUGCCGUGACACAGUGACUGCUCAAAGUCUGCCGCAGAGAGUUUGUGUCAGGGGCAGGAGCAGAUUCACAUUGUCUUUAGCAGUGCCAGAGACAUUUUUUUCUGAAGAGAACAUUAGCUUUUAAGUCUCCUGCAAGUCCUCUGAAAAAUAAAUAUACAUCUUUGGAAAGUGACUGGAAAGAUGCUUACAUGAGAGCUGGAAAAGAUGCUCAAUAUCAAUCUGUACUUUCCUCUUUAAGUGUUUCUGAGCCACAUCUUCACCUGCAAUUAACUCACAUGGCGUAUGAAGAUACACUCCUCUGUGCUUAACCUUUAAACAAAAUUUCUCUGAUUAUUGGCCUUCAUUCCCAGUGUGACUGUGAGAAACGAGCAGGGCAGAUGGGAGCAGGCGUUCCCAGUUGAUGCUACAGAACAUUUCUGUGAUGAUUUAAAGCUGUGUUAAACAAUAGCUUGUUCACAUUCAAUUUCAGAGCAUCCCAAGAUGCUGUAUGAGGCAGGGAAGAGAACUGAAAUUGCUUUUGCGGAGAUGCUAGGCAUAAUUAAAGGCUCAUGUCUAGAUCUUACAGCUAACAAACUGCUGUACAACAAGGGAAGCAGCUCCCUAAGUAGUUUUUUACAAAACACUAAAUAUACUAUUGUAACAAUAAAACCUAACCAUCCAGCUGCCAGCACACUGUGUGCGUGUGGCACUGUGGACAUCAUGUCCACCCCCUCCCCUCAAAUCCAUCCCCUUCUGCUGUUGGAAAAUAGCAAAAGUCCUACCAGGAGCUACUGAGAAGUUUAAUAAAAAUAAAUUGGAGCUGCUUAAUCCACUUCUGCAAUCUGGCUGUACUUGUUCUGAAAAUCAGGACUGCACCUUUGGAAAAGUGCAGAUGUAAAUGUAAAGUGCAGAGUAAAGUGAGAAGCUGUGAGCACUGCCUUGCAGAAGGGCAGAAAAAAGGCCUCUCGCCGUCUCCCCUUUUGACAUGACAGAUAAAGGCAAAUGCGUGAAGGUCUUAAAGCCCCACUGCAGAGCAGGAAGAGGAAAACAAAUGGCACCACACCAUAUACCCAUAAUCCCAACUAAAAGGCAUUCAAAUUCAUUUCUCCUCAGCUUCCCUUUUACACACCAGUGAACAAGUGUGUUUGACAACACAGUGUGGGAGUUUCCAGUUCAUUGAGCGGGUUUCCUUCACCUUUGCUCAGGCUUCCACCUGAAUGUCCUGCUCCCAACCACAAGAUGGAUCCCAGGUGGGCUGGUGGGGACCAGAAAUGGGAGCCCCCGGGCACUGCACCUCACACACGGGGCUCUGGGAGGAAGCAAACUGGGAAACUGGAUGCAGGUUGAAGAGAAAGUGCUGGGCUUGGCAGGAAAGCAAUGCUCUCAGGCCCCAACUGCCACCAUGCUGAGCUCGCUGCCUUUGCUAGGCCUGGAGCUUCCCAUGUGUGAGGAAUGCACCUGGGGAAGUGCCUUGCAGGUUGCUGGGACCAGUGGCCUUCAAUAGGCAGGAGCAGCAGGCCAGAGCAGCAGGCACAACAGCUGAGGUGAUGCCAACCGAUGCUGGAAGAAGGAGGCAAGGGAAAAGUGCUGCAGGAUGCUUGGGAGACUGGAAAAUGCCUCGGAGCCAGCGGAGCCACGAGCGUGUGAGUGGAAGGCAGCAUGGGCUGCUCAUUAGAGCCUGAGCGCAUUGAGAGCAGGAGAGGAUGCUCACAUGGCAAAUCAAUUUGCAGGCAUCAAAUUGAUUUAAAAAAAUGCAAAAGGAUGCACUCACCAUUAUAAAUCGAAUAGGAAGAGCAGCAGAUAAACAUGGUCCAUGGUUCAUAAAACCACAGUUAGAGGGAGUGGAACCUUUUUCUCAGGCAAGAUAGCAGGCAGUGUGCCCUUAUGUCUCAUCUGCAGCUUUUCACAUUUCUAUUUUUCACAUUUCCAAUGCCAAACUAAUUAUUUUCCUCCAAAGGUCCUUUCCACUUCUCUUCAUCCUCAUCCUUCUGUUGACAUUGACUGGACGUAUAAUCACAGCAUCGCUUUUCAGUAUUUGACUCUUGCUUCAAAUCCUUUUUUCUCCCUUGUAGCAUCUCUGAGAUCUCAACCAAGGAUCCAAAACACUUGCUUAUAACUUCACAGUCUCCAGGUUUUGGGUUUCACAUCCCCCUCCUUACCAUCCUUUUCACACCUCCAUCCCACUGCUUCCUACACAGAGUACAGCUGCCAGGUUGAUGAUACAGAUGUAGAGAUAAAAUCCAAUUCUCCAGAGCUGCCUUAGUAACACUUUUUCAGCGUACAGUUCCAGAUACUUUUCUUUGCAUGCAUUUUCUCUGUGCUUUCAGGUUCACCAUGCUGACUUUGCCUCUUGAGCAGGCGCAGCACCCAAGAGCUGUAGCAGGGUGUUAUUCUCCACCCUCACUCACAUCACAGGGAAAACAAGAGUAGUCGGAGUGAGCACCAAACCAGCUGUUUGAUAGAUGUUAAGUCAAGCAAGAGGUUGCACUACAAAGUGAUAGGAAAUAGGCUGUCAUGUUCUUCCAUUACCCCCAAGCCUGACUUCUCCCAGCACUGCACAUCUCCUUGGCCCUGCUUCUAACUCCUCGGUAUCUCAUACCAUCCUCAUGCGCUUUUCAGUGCUCAGAUCUCUGCUGUGUCCUUGCCCCACUCCAUUUCCACAUUGAGCCAGCCUCAGUGUCUGCUUUCUGUCUGACCUGGGCCAUCCUCCCCGAUGGCUUUCAGUGAGCUGAACAAGCAUAUUCUGCACCGGUUCAAUCCCAACAGAUUUUCAUACUAUUUUUGAUGAUAAAAAUCUGUAGGAAAGAUCCAGAGGGUGUCAUUCUCCGAAAAAGCUGAAGAUUUCCUGAAAAUUUCAUCCUGAAAUGUGUACCAAGAAUGGAAAAGUAACUUAAGGCAGUUAAAGUUCAAGAAAUGUAUGGGAACUGCUUCUUACGAAAAGAAAUGUAGGAAGUGAUGGCUACCACCCAGUCUGUGGUUUAAGUUUAUUGUAGGAGUUCUUGCCUACUGUUUUCCUAACCAGGAGUAAGGCUCCCAAAUGAGCUAAUUCUCUAUGUCAAGCCAUACUAGUUCUAUAUAAACUGCAAUAUUUACUUAAAAUCCUCUCGCAGACAAUGUAGUGAUGCAAACUGUCCCAUAGUGGCUGCUCACAAUGUCAUUAUUAUACAUCUCAUUAUCCCAAGACAGCUGGCAAAAAUGAGCUGGGUAAUUUACACACAACUUUGAAACUGUGCCUGCAUUUUGAACUGUGUCAGCAGCCGUGGCUUCUUCACAGCCUCUUAAAUGGGCAGCUACCAAGCAGUGUGAGGAC
ensembl:lncRNA